ensembl:lncRNA
CAGGGCCUCAGUUUCCCCAGCUUUGAGUUUGAAAUCCUCUCUUGGUGCCUGUCCGCUCAAUCAGGAAGGAGCAUUAAGACCAAGAGGGAUUUCGCAGCUGCAGUACACAUGGCCCUGUCCUCAGAAGCCCCAGUCUGAGAUGAGAAGCACAGCCCUGGCCUUGGGAGCCCUCAAACCCAGAGAUGGGAGCUUGCCUACCUGUCUACCCAUCGGCCUGGACCCCAGAGCCUGCCCAGCUAAGUGCGUACAGAGGGCCCCGGUUUCGGGGCGACUCUCAGGCUGCCGCAGAGACCACCCUGGAAUCGCUGGCGAAGACAGGCCUUUCCUGCUGAGCCAGACCUUGUCUACACAGCCUGCUCAGCUUUCAGAAAACCAACGCCAAGACCCCUCCCAGCGUCCACAUUGUCCUCUGGCAGGAGCGCCUGCCCCUCUGCCUCCCACCCCACCCCACCUGUCCCCCUUGCACUACCAUCUCCCCCCACCCCUCCCCGCCCAUCUCCUCCACGCAGAAGCCGAAGGUGAGCCCUUUCUGCACAAAACCAGCAAUUGUAAAUACUUUUUAAAAAUGUACAAAACUUAAAAAACAAAACACAGUUUUAGAAAAAGACAAAAAAAAGAGAGAGAGAGCGCGAGCGUGUGCAAGAGGUUGCGAGCGGGGCUCCGAGGUGUCCAGAGCCCCUGCAAGUAUGCACUGAGAAAUUUAUCUACAGGUCGUUUGACAAAAAUGAACAAUACCCUAUUUAUUGUAUAUACUGUUUUAUUAUAAAUCGUGGAUUGUAUAUUGCAUUCUGUAAACCUGCUGUGGUCCCGUGGUGUGCAGAUUCGCAUGGUGGGGGGGGAGCAGAACCUCUUGCGGGAGCUUUUUUU